rnacentral:rRNA from 1 species
GUGUGCUAAUACCGGAUACGUUGAGUAAUCAAGAAAGGUGGCCUCUGAAUAUGCUACUGUGCUGAGAUGAGCUUGCGUACCAUUAGCUAGUUGGUAGGGUAAUGGCCUACCAAGGCAACGAUGGUUAGCGGGUCUGAGAGGAUGAUCCGCCACACUGGAACUGAAACACGGACCAGACUCCUACGGGAGGCAGCAGUGAGGAAUAUUGCGCAAUGGGGGAAACCCUGACGCAGCGACGCCGCGUGGAUGAUGAAGGCCUUCGGGUCGUAAAAUCCUGUCAGAUGGAAAGAAAUGCAUGGUGGCUAAUACCUGCCAUGUUUGACGGUACCAUCGAAGGAAGCACCGGCUAACUCCGUGCCAGCAGCCGCGGUAAUACGGAGGGUGCAAGCGUUGUUCGGAAUUACUGGGCGUAAGGCGCGCGUAGGCGGUUUGUUAAGUCAGAUGUGAAAGCCCAUGGCUCAACCAUGGACGUGCAUUUGAAACUGGCAGACUUGAGUAUUGG